rfam:Capsicum annuum cultivar Zunla-1 chromosome 3, whole genome shotgun sequence
GUGAGCUGUAUAAUGGGAAACUAUCUCCUGCGGUUUAGAGAGGACUCAUCUGUUAGUUAGUACCUCCUUGGUUUUGGGGUGGAACUUUUCACUCUAU